rnacentral:pre_miRNA from 1 species
GGGGGGAGGCCGGAUCCUGGGCUGUGUCCCCGGCGCCCUGUGCUCCCGGGCCUGCGCUGUUGGAUUCGCGCUCCCGGCCGUGCAGCCCCCU